GUCUUGGUCGCUUUACCAAGAUAUAUCCUAAAUUGAAACAACACAGAGAAGUUUAGCAUGGCCUUUGUGCAAAGAUGACAGGUAAAUUCAAAUUAAAAAAGAACAAAACUGU
rnacentral:snRNA from 1 species